CCUACGGGGGGCAGCAGUAAGGAAUAUUGGUCAAUGGACGGAAGUCUGAACCAGCCAUCCCGCGUGCAGGAAGAAGGUCCUAUGGAUUGUAAACUGCUUUUAGCAGAGACGAAACGCCUUCAUUUAUGGGGGUUUGACGGUAUCUGCGGAAUAAGCACCGGCUAACUCCGUGCCAGCAGCCGCGGUAAUACGGAGGGUGCAAGAGUUAUCCGGAAUCACUGGGGUGAAGGCGGGGGAUGAAGUGAGUGGUGAAAGUCUGUAGCUUAACUACCGAAUUGCCAUUGAUACUGAGUUUCUUGAAUUGGGUUGAGGUUAGCGGAAUGUGACAUGUAACGGUGAAAUGUUUAGAUAUGUCAUGGAACACCGAUUGCGAAGGCAGCUAGCUGGGCCUUGAUUGACGCUGAGGCACGAAAGCGUGGGUAGCGAACAGGAUUAGAUACCCUUGUAGUC
rnacentral:rRNA from 1 species